UACGGGGGGUGCAAGCGUUAAUCGGAAUUACUGGGCGUAAAGGGUGCGUAGGCGGUCAUUUAAGUUACUUGUGGAAUUCCUGGGCUCAACCUGGGGUGGACGGGUAAUACUGGGUGACUUGAGUAUGGGAGAGGGCAGUGGAAUUUCCGGUGUAGCGGUGAAAUGCGUAGAUAUCGGAAGGAACACCGGUGGCGAAGGCGGCUGCCUGGCCUAAUACUGACGCUGAGGCACGAAAGCGUGGGUAGCGAACAGG
rnacentral:rRNA from 1 species